AUUGAACGCUGGCGGCAUGCUUUACACAUGCAAGUCGAACGGCAACGCGGCUCAGGCUGGCGGCGAGUGGCGAACGGGUGAGUAAUAUAUCGGAACGUACCCGGACGUGGGGGAUAACGAGGCGAAAGCUACGCUAAUACCGCAUACGAUCUACGGAUGAAAGCGGGGGAUCGCAAGGCCUUACGCGUUCGGAGCGGCCGAUUGCUGAUUAGGUAGUUGGUGGGGUAAAGGCCUACCAAGGCGACGAUCUGUAGCUGGUCUGAGAGGAAGAACAGCCACAAUGGGACUGGGGAAAGGCCCAGAACUCCUAGGGGAGGAGCAAGGGGGAAAUUUUGAAAAAGGGGGGAAAGCUUGUCCAGGAAAUGCGGGGUGGUGAAGAAGGGCCUUGGGGUUGUAAGCUGUUUUUGUAGGGAACAAAAAGCCGACGUUAAAAACAUGGGCGAAAGACGGUAACCGUAAGAUAAGGACCGGGUAACCUCGGU
rnacentral:rRNA from 1 species